GGAUUAAUGCGUCGGUCGUGCCUUCGGUACGUACUGGCGUCAUUGAUUCCUCCCUUCUGAAGAACCGUGAUGUCAUUAAUUUGGUGUUACGGGGAAUCAGGACUGUUACUUUGAAAAAAUUAGAGUGUUUAAAGCAGGCUAACGCUUGAAUACAUUAGCAUGGAAUAAUGAAAUAGGACGUUCGAACCUAUUUUGUUGGUUUCUAGGAUCGACGUA
rnacentral:rRNA from 1 species